UGAGAAAAUGGAGGUGUCCUUGCAUGCUUUUGAUGGUUGGAGUGUGUUUAGCAUGGGCAGAAAGAUGAGGUGCGCAGAAAGAUCCACUCAAGGAAGGGUUUUUCAAAAUUGCCAUCUUUCGAAUGGAAGCUUUCCCAGAAAUUAGGGUUAGGAAUAUGCACCAGGUUAGGGUUAGGGUUCGAAAAAGGAGGUGUCCUGGCAUGCUUUUGAUGGUUGGAGUGUGUUUAGCAUGGGCAGAAAGAUGAGGUGCGCAGAAAGAUCCACUCAAGGAAGGGUUUUUGAAAAUUGCCCUCCUUGGAUGCAAGCUUACCCAGAAAUUAGGGUUAGGAAUAUGCACGAGGUUAGGGUAAGGGUUAGAAAAAGGAGGUGUCCUGGCAUGCUUUUGAUGGUUGGAAUGCGUUUAGCAUGGGCAGAAAAGAUGAGGUGCGCAGAAAGAUCCACUCAAGGAAGAGUUUUUCAAAAUUGCCGUCUUUUGAAUGGAAGCCUACCCAGAAAUUACGGUUGGGAAUAUUCACCAGGUUAGGGUUAGGGUCAGGAAAACGCGAUGUCCUGGCUUGCUGUUGAUUGUUGGAAUGCGUUUAGCAUGGGUAGAAAAGAUGAGCUGCGCCGAAAAAUCCACUCAAGGAAGGGCUUUU